rnacentral:rRNA from 1 species
AGUACGGUCGCAAGAUUAAAACUCAAAGGAAUUGACGGGGACCCGCACAAGCGGUGGAUGAUGUGGAUUAAUUCGAUGCAACGCGAAAAACCUUACCUACCCUUGACAUGUCACUAACGAAGUAGAGAUACAUUAGGUGCCCGUAAGGGAAAGUGAACACAGGUGCUGCAUGGCUGUCGUCAGCUCGUGUCGUGAGAUGUUGGGUUAAGUCCCGCAACGAGCGCAACCCUUGUCUUUAGUUGCUACGCAAGAGCACUCUAAAGAGACUGCCGGUGACAAACCGGAGGAAGGUGGGGAUGACGUCAAGUCCUCAUGGCCCUUAUGGGUAGGGCUUCACACGCCAUACAAUGGUGCGUACAGAGGGUUGCCAACCCGCGAGGGGGAGCUAAUCUCUUAAAACGCAUCGUAGUCCGGAUCGUAGUCUGCAACUCGACUACGUGAAGCUGGAAUCGCUAGUAAUCGCGGAUCAGCAUGUCGCGGUGAAUACGUUCCCGGGUCUUGUACACACCGCCCGUCACACCAUGGGAGUGGGUUUUGCCAGAAGCAGUUAGCCUAACCGUAAGGAGGGCGAUUGCCACGGCAGGGUUCAUGACUGGGGUG